rnacentral:rRNA from 1 species
UACGAAGGGGGCUAGCGUUGUUCGGAAUUACUGGGCGUAAAGCGUGCGCAGGCGGUUUUGUAAGCCAGAUGUGAAAGCCCCGGGCUUAACCUGGGAAUGGCAUUUGGGACUGCAAGGCUGGAGUGUGGCAGAGGAGACUGGAAUUCCUGGUGUAGCAGUGAAAUGCGUAGAUAUCAGGAGGAAUACCGAUGGCGAAGGCAGGUCUCUGGGCUGACACUGACGCUCAUGCACGAAAGCGUGGGGAGCAAACAGG